rnacentral:rRNA from 1 species
AUCUUCAAGUUUAAGUUUAUUUGAAGUGAAGCCUGCUCAAUGAUUAUUAUUUAAUAGCCGCAGUACCUUGACUGUGCUAAGGUAGCAUAAUAACUUGUCUUUUAAUUGAAGUCUGGAAUGAAAGGUUUUAUGGGGAAAAGCUGUCUUUAGUUGAUUUCUUUUAAUUUACUUUAGAAGGUGAAAAAACCUUCACUUCAGAUAAAAGACGAGAAGACCCUUAGAGUUUUUAUUAUUAUCUUUAAUAGUUCACUUUUUUUGUUGGGGCGACAAAGUAGCAAUAAUUUUUUAACCUACUAUAAUAUCAAUUUUAUUUGACAUUUUUUUAAUUGAAAAAAUAAACUACCUUAGGGAUAACAGCAUAAUUUUUAAUAAAGAUUGUGACCUCGAUGUUGGACUAGGAACUUUAAGAUUAAUAAUCCUAAAAGAUUUGCUCUGUUCGAGCUUUAUUUCCU